GACGAACGCUGGCGGCGUGCUUAACACAUGCAAGUCGAACGGAAAGGCCCUGCUUUUGUGGGGUGCUCGAGUGGCGAACGGGUGAGUAACACGUGAGUAACCUGCCCUUGACCUUGGGAUAACUUCAGGAAACUAGGGCUAAUACCGGAUAGGAGCUCCUGCUGCAUGGUGGGGGUUGGAAAGUUUCGGCGGUUGGGGAUGGACUCGCGGCUUAUCAGCUUGUUGGUGGGGUAGUGGCUUACCAAGGCUUUGACGGGUAGCCGGCCUGAGAGGGUGACCGGCCACAUUGGGACUGAGAUACGGCCCAGACUCCUACGGGAGGCAGCAGUGGGGAAUAUUGCACAAUGGGCGGAAGCCUGAUGCAGCAACGCCGCGUGCGGGAUGACGGCCUUCGGGUUGUAAACCGCUUUCGCCUGUGACGAAGCGUGAGUGACGGUAAUGGGUAAAGAAGCACCGGCUAACUACGUG
rnacentral:rRNA from 1 species